rnacentral:rRNA from 1 species
UACGUAGGGUGCGAGCGUUGUCCGGAAUUAUUGGGCGUAAAGGGCUCGUAGGCGGUUUGUCGCGUCGGGAGUGAAAUCCACUGGCUUAACUGGUGGCUUGCUUUCGAUACGGGCAGACUGGAGGUAUGCAGGGGAGAACGGAAUUCCUGGUGUAGCGGUGAAAUGCGCAGAUAUCAGGAGGAACACCGGUGGCGAAGGCGGUUCUCUGGGCAUGUCCUGACGCUGAGGAGCGGAAGCGUGGGGAGCGAACAGG